AUACGUAGGGAGCAAGCGUUGUCCGGAAUUACUGGGCGUAAAGGGUGCGUAGGCGGCGCGUUAAGUCAGAUGUGAAAUACCCGUGCUUAACAUGGGGGGUGCAUCUGAUACUGGCGUGCUUGAGUGCAGGAGAGGAAGGCGGAAUUCCUAGUGUAGCGGUGAAAUGCGUAGAUAUUAGGAGGAACACCAGUGGGGAAGGCGUUUUUCUGGACUGUAACGGACGAGGAGGCACGAAAGCGUGGGGAGCAAACAGGAAUAGCUACCCUGGUAGUCCACGCCGUAAACGAUGGAUACUAGGUGUAGGGGUCAUAAGGCCUCUGUGCCGCAGCAAACGCAAUAAGUAUCCCGCCUGGGGAGUACGACCGCAAGGUUGAAACUCAAAUGAAUUGACGGGG
rnacentral:rRNA from 1 species